AGCUGAUGCACAUUUGACUCUAACUGCACAAUACCCAUAACAACAUAAAUUAAACUAAAUGGAAAAAAUUUAAGAACCACAACAAAUAUUAAUACAUUCCAGGAGUAAAUUAUGGUUGCUUCACAUUAAGGACCAUUUAACCAACCAAAAUUACUGAAAAAGAUAAUCUAGAAAAAUACUAGACAGAAAAGGGGAGAAAGAAAGAGAGAAAAAGGGGAGGGACAACUAGCUUCAAGGACAACGUGACUAUUCCAAAGUGAGACAUAAGAGGGAUAAGUCCAGGAAUGGCUUCAGAUUUUCUUAUAGUUUGAGACUUUGGGUUGUGCAACUAAAUCCACUGCACAUCUGGUGUAUAAUCCACUUAUAUCGACAAAAUCAAUUGGUAAUAAUUGAAAUAUAUUUCAAGUUGUAUUGAGAGGAGGAAAUUAAAAAAGGCCACAAGUUUGAAGAAGAUUAUAAGAUGAACAGAGUUCUGUUGACUUUGGUCGUCAGACUUUAACAGCUCUAAAUUUGUUCGAGUUAGGGCUGACCAACAAAUAACAGAAGAUCCUUACUAUGAGAAGUAAAUGUUUCACGAAUACAAUAUCUGAUGCAUUAAGAACAGUUUUACGCCAAAGCCUGCUAUAAUGUGGAUUCAGCCAUGGACCUAGCAGAAGCCCCUGCAACCUGCCUUCAAUCAAGAGAAUAUAUCUCAUUAUAUCUGCAAGAUGACCUUUCUUGUUCCUUUUUGAUGGAAGGCCAACAACCUCAUCCACUGGCCCUUUCUGAACUGGACCCAAACUCAUAUUAAACAAGCAACCUAUUUCAUCAGAAGAAACCCUGCAAGUGAAGCACCACCCACAUUUUUCUUUCUGCACAUCAACAUUCAGUCUUGGAAUAUUUGACCAACAAAACUUGGCAGUUCUCUUCGAAAUAAUCUUCAUCUGUGCUGAAAUGAUUUCCUCAUCUGUUUUUAUAGAGUUCUCCAUGGUUUUGUCUGCUGACUUACGCAUCAAUUCUUCUGCAAUUGAUGAAGCUAUAUAACCAAAACUGUAAUAGUUCAUGUAACCAGUUCCCAGCUGCACUAGUGACGCAUUCCUGUUUGUUGGAUCUAAAGCUGAUGAAAGGUGGCCAUUAGCUACAGAUCCUAUUACACUCUUGCUUUUUAAAUUCAAACAGGAUGACGUCAACAAAUUGCCUCCCAUGAGUGGGAACUUCCCUUGAAUAUCAGAUUCAUUUAAGAAAUCAGCAGAUCUAUUUGAACAAUCGAGCCCUUCUUUUUGAAAAUUCCGAUUCUGUAAACUUGUUUGGGUUGUUUCAGCUGAUCCUUCAGAACUCACACAUGUUUGACUCGAAGACUUUGAAACCUCAAAAUUAAUUUGACCAGAACAUACUGUACUAAACUUUUCUUCUGGUUUUCUUUCAUCAUUAGUCUCAUUUUUAAUUGUACACGUUUCUGAAGAUGCCAACACAGCUGGAGGCAUGCACAUAUCUAAGCAUAAAUCCAGAUUACCACUUGCUCCACAUAAAUUAACAGGGAUAUCCCAAUGCUUCUGGAUUGCCUCCAAUAUGCUGCUAGAACCCGUCUCUGAAGACCUCAGCACUUCAAUAACAGCAAUAAGAUCAUCUCUGUGGUAAUAACUAAAUGAGGAUUCAGUUUCACAUGAAUCUGACACCAAUAAAUAACCACAGCUGCUAAAAAAAACCCGACCAUAACAAUCAACCCCCAAUAGGUCCGCCCCUCGAAGUGACUUUCGAGGUCUCAUCCAAGGCUUAUGCCUGUCGAUGACACACUCAGGGCAGAACCAGUCACCCUCUGGCAAAUAAUCAUUGGCAACACCUACACACUUUGAAUGAAAGGCAGCAGGACAACCAUCACAGCAUAUUAAGCUCCCAUCCAUCUUACAAAGACAGCAUUCAUCACUAUUCCAGUCAGUGGUGUCAUCAACAGCCUCCUCAGUUAAGCAAGAGCCAGCUGAGAUGACCAUCCCAGUUCCAGCCCUUCUUUUCUUGAAAGCUCCAACACCCAUAUUUCGAUCAAAGUCCAGGUCAGACUCAGCUCCCAAAGAUCUUCUAUUAAGCUCUGACCUAAUGGCUUCCGUCUCAAUUAUACCAUCACAUAAACAUCGCAGUAUCUCAACUUUCACAGACACAGGCUGUGUGUGGUAGUCAUUUUUUAAUAGCUCCAAGUGACUAAAAUUGAAGCAAGGUUUCAAAUCAGAACCAUGGAUUAGGAAGUACUCGACCAUGAAAACAGGCCAUGUGUUCAAGUCCAGCAAACCCCAGUUAAGACUCCUCAAGCAAAUAGAAGCAGAUUCAGAACCUUCAAUUGAGAGGUAUUCCAAAUGCAAUCUUAGAGUUUGCAAAAUGGAAACAUGAAUGCAAUCAAACAAUGAGCUAGGAGAGUUGCACUUCAAAGCUGCCACAAAUUCCUCCAACUCAAAGGGACUUGAGAACAAUAAUGUACUAAAUGAUCUUAGACAGGCAUAAGCUGAGAAAAAGUCAAUUAUUGAAAUACCAUCCAAAUCCAAAUUCUGUGAAGAAGGUGGCAGUUGCACCUUUGGAGGAAGAACCACAGACUCUUGAGGCCAUUUGUGAAAUGAUUUCACAGAUCCCUCCUCAGUUAACGCACUAACAGCCGGAGACACAGAUAAAUCUUGGACUGUACUUAAUGCAGUUGGGGUUGAAAUAUCAUUUUUAGCAGAACCCCGACGAGUACUCCUCCUCAGAACUGUCAUUUGUGGUGUGGCAUUCACAUGAUCUGAAAACUUUAUUCUCUUUCUACAACUACCAGUCACUUCUUUAUAUGCACUCCCCAUAUCACCUUGCUUCCCAUCACUUACCACAGUACAAUCUUUAUUGGCAACAUCGUCAUUUACGAUGAACGCUGUUUCCAGUGUAGAACUUGAGGUAUCAACAAGCUUUCCCCUCCUCUGCCUCCUCUGAUUACAAUUCUUUUCUUUAUAUACACUUCUUAUCUCACCUUCAUUCCCAUAAAUUACUGUAGCAUCUGUAAAUAUUGUUGUUUCUGGGGCAGAAUUCAAACUAUUGGCAAUGCUUCUCCUCCUCCCCCUCCUCCUCCUCGGAUUCCACCAGUGACUCACUGUCAGAGUCAUCA
rnacentral:misc_RNA from 1 species